rnacentral:tRNA from 2 species
GCUCGUAUGGUGUAGUCCGGCCCAUCAUGAAGCCCUCUCGAGGCUUCGACCCGGGUUCAAAUCCCGGUACGAGCA